AUCUCUGCCCCAUGGGCUCAGACGAUCCUCCUACCUCAGCCUUCUAAGUAGCUGUUACUGCAAGGCAGGACUAAAAUGUGAGAUGUCCAGGUUUUUGGCUGUUGAACAUAGAAUUGAAGAAAAAAAAGAAAAAGGACCACAGACACAGACGUGCAUCACGCCUGGCUACGUUUUCUUGUUGUUGGUGGAGACAGGGUUUUAUUAUGGUGCCCAGGCUGGUCUCGGACUCCUGAGCUCAAGCGAUCCACCCGCCUUGGCCACCCACAGUGCUGGGAUGACAGGCGCGAGCUACUGUACCCAGCCUCUGCCUGGGCUUUGGUGAAGGCUGGGUCUGUGCCCUGAAGGGGAUCUCAUUCUAGCCCAGCUUCCCACUGAUGCAGUGUGUGUGUUGGGCUUCUCCAGGAGGGGAGUAGGUUCUGAAGAAAGGAUUCAAAAAUUCACUUAGUUUUCUUGUAGGAGUUUAUCAUCCCUGGUGCAGUGGGCAGACAAGGGGACCAUAUUUCCUCAGGGAUUGACUUCUAAUGACUCUUGAUACGUGAGGAAGAGCCCCGGAAGAGGAAGAGGAAAGCAAAGGAGUCAGGGAUGGCUCUUCCUCAGGGUCUGUUGACAUUCAGGGAUGUGGCCAUAGAAUUCUCUCAGGAGGAGUGGAAAUGCCUGGACCCUGCUCAGAAGACUUUACACAGGGACGUGAUGUUGGAGAAUUACAGGAACCUGGUCUCCCUGGAUACCUCUUCCAUAUGCAUGAUGAAGGGGUUCUCAUCCACAGAGCAAGGCAAUACAGAAGUAUUCCACACAGGGACAUUGCAAAGACAUGAAAGUCAUCACACUGGAGAUUUUUGCUUCCAGAAAACUGAGAAAAAUAUUCAUGACUUUGAGUUUCAGUGGCAAAAGGAUGAAAGAAAUAGUCGUGAAGUACUCAUGACGAAAAUCAAAAAGUUGACCGGUAGUAAAGACCGAUAUGAUGACAGGCCUUCUGGAAACAAGCCUAUUGAAGAUCAGCUUGGAUUAAGCUUUCAUUCACAUCUGUCUAACCUGCACAUAUUUCAGAAUGAAGGGAAUAUUGAUAAUCAACUAGAGAAGUCUUUAAAUGAUGUUUCCUUAAUUUCAACUUCCCCAAGAAGUUUUUGUAGGCCCAAAACCCAUAUUUCUAAUUACUGUAGAAAUAAUUUGCUUCAUUCAUUACUGACAGAAAGAGAGGAGGUACACGUGAGAGAAAAAUCUUUGCAAUGUAAUGAGAGUGGCAAAGCCUUUAAUUGUAGCUCACUCUUAAGGGAACAUCAGAUAAUCCAUUUAGGAGAGAAACGAUAUGAAUGUGAUAUAUGUGGGAAGGUCUUUAAUCAGAAGCGAUACAUCGAACGCCAUCGUAGAUGUCACACUGGUGAGAAACCUUACAAGUGUAAUGAAUGUGGCAAGAGCUUCUGUCACAUGUCAUAUCUUGUAUGCCAUCGUAGACUUCAUACUGGAGAGAAACCUUACAAAUGUAAUGAGUGUGGCAAGACAUUCCAUCAAAGUUCAGGCCUUCUAUUUCAUAAGAAAAUUCACACUGGAGAGAAACCUUACAAAUGUGAUGAAUGUGGCAAGGUUUUUAAUCAAAAAUCACACCUUACACGUCAUCAUAGACGUCAUACUGGAGAGAAACCUUACAGAUGUGAAGAAUGUGACAAAGUUUACACUCGCAAAUCAUACCUUGAAGUACAUAGGAGAAUUCAUACUGGAGAGAAACCAUAGAAAUGUAGCUUUUGUGACAAGGCUUUUGGGUGUGCUUCACAUCUGGCAUGGCAUAUUAGAAUCCACACUGGAGAAAAACCUUACGAGUGUAAUGAGUGUGGCAGAGCCUUUAGUGGACAGUCAGCACUUAUUCAUCAUCAAGCAAUCUACGGUAUAGGGAAACUUUUCUAAUGUAAUGACUGUCGCCAAGUCUUCAGUAACGCUACAACCAUUGCAAAUCAUUGGAAAAUCCAUAAUGAAGACAGAUCUUACAAGUGUAAGUGGUGUAGCAAAUUUUUCAAUCUUUCAUUCCUUGUCAUUCGUCAGUGAACUCAUACUGGAUAGAAACCGUAUAAAUGUAAUGAUUGUGGCAAGGUCUUCAGUCAGGCUUCAUCUUAUGCAAAACAUAGGAGAAUUCAUAGAGGAGGAAAACCUCACCAGUGUGAUAAUUGUGACAAAGCCUUUGUUUCACGUUCACACUUCGUUAGACAUCAGAGUAUCCAUACUGGACAGAAAUUCUACAAAUGUCAUAACUGUGGCAAAGUCUUCAGUCUGGGGUUACUCUUGCAGAACAUUGGAAAAUUCAUUCUUGAGAUGAAUUGUUCCAAAUGCAAUGUGUAUAGCAACCCAUCAAGCAUUAAUUGACAUUAACGUCAGUUCAGUAUCAAAUUGAGUUUGAGUUGACUUAACAUUGAGUUCAAGCAUUAACUGACAUUUUAAAGUGUUUAUGUUAAGAGGAUUAAGCCAGGCAUGGUGGCUUUUUAUGAGCAUUGUGUUGAAUGUAAAUCACAUUGGGCAAUAUAAUUAUUUAACAAUAUUUUUCCAAUCCAUCAAUAUGGGUUGUAUCUUUAUAUAUGUUUGUAAUCAAUAUUUGUAGAUUUCAAAGUACAAUCUUCUCAUCUUUUUACAUUUAUUCCUAAGUAUAUCUUACUUUAAGUCAUCUAGCACAUGGAAGUGUUUUCUUAAUUUUCUUUUAAAAUUGUUUAUUGUUAAUGUAUGGAAAUUCAGCUAAGUUUUGCUACUGAUAAUUGUAUUCUGCAAAUACACUGAAUGUAUUUAUUAGUUAUAGUGGUAUUUUGGUUGACUGAUUUUCUACACAGAAAACCAUGUCACUACGAACAUUAUUUACU